CCUACGGGGGGCUGCAGUGGGGAAUAUUGGACAAUGGGCGAAAGCCUGAUCCAGCCAUGCCGCGUGUGUGAAGAAGGCCUUCGGGUUGUAAAGCACUUUCAGUGGGGAAGAAAGCCUUGGGGCUAAUACCCUCGAGGAAGGACAUCACCCACAGAAGAAGCACCGGCUAACUCCGUGCCAGCAGCCGCGGUAAUACGGAGGGUGCGAGCGUUAAUCGGAAUUACUGGGCGUAAAGCGCGCGUAGGCGGUCUGAUAAGCCGGUUGUGAAAGCCCCGGGCUCAACCUGGGAACGGCAUCCGGAACUGUCAGGCUAGAGUGCAGGAGAGGAAGGUAGAAUUCCCGGUGUAGCGGUGAAAUGCGUAGAGAUCGGGAGGAAUACCAGUGGCGAAGGCGGCCUUCUGGACUGAGACUGACGCUGAGGUGCGAAAGCGUGGGUAGCAAACAGGAUUAGAUACCCUAGUAGUC
rnacentral:rRNA from 1 species